AUUAAUAGAUAUGAAUUUGAAAUGUGCCUUGUGCCCAGGGCCCAAGUAGAUUCCUGCUUUUUCUCCCAGGGAAUCAGACUGAUUUAGCCUGUGAUAGGCAGAGCAGCUGGGCAUCUCCAGGGCAACCCGCGCACUUCAUGGAGGGGAGAAGGCCUGCAGAUGAGAGAACAAAAGCCACAGAGGAUAGGCUGCCUGCUUCGAACAGCUCUUCUCCGAGGCUGGGCCAUGAAUGAUGCCACUUCUCUUCCUAUGUGGAGAGCCCAGUGAGAAGUAUAGAGAAGGGAAGAUGUUUCUCCUUAAAAUUCAGCCAAUGUCGCAACUUCUAGUUUCAAGCCUGGGAAAAAUUCAGGGCUAGGGAGAGAAGUCCCCUGCCCUCUCCUCCCAACCUAGUGAGAACGAACUUGAAGGUUUGAGGAAGAAGGCUGAAUGUAAAACUGGCAAACAGUCUGGACAAAUGCCAGAGAGAAGUGCUUGGCUGAAGCCAGCACUUAAGGGCUUCCUGAGGAAUGAGUGUGGACUGGCUGGCCUCAGAAUAAAGGACUGAGACAAAGCAGAUGCCAGAAGUCUAUUGAAUUUUCACUUUGUUGUUUCAGUAUCCUCUUAUGCUUAAUGUCUUCAGUCUUUUGCUUCUGGCUAUGAUGAAGUUACUGAUACAAGGCUAGCCUCAUGCCGUCAACAACCAUGAAACUGAACAAAAUACAUGUGGCAACGCUUUCCAGACUGUGGAAAACAGGCAAUGCAAGAUUGAUCCCUGAAAGAAAGAAAAAUCACAAGGGAAGGAUGCGAUUGGUCAGCAUGAAUCAUCUGCCCACCCCUAUCGUGCGUAUGGACUGUGAUUGACAGUUACGUGCACCACAUGAAGAAAAAAGCAGAGUUCUUCAAACAGCAUGAUACUGUAAGAGAAGGAAUGGGGGACAAGAUCUAGGGCUGCAGGAUUAAAAAAACAACCAAACCAAACAG
rnacentral:lncRNA from 1 species